rnacentral:misc_RNA from 1 species
UGAGAGUAGUUAACAGAACAGUAUAGA